UACAGAGGGUGCAAGCGUUGUUCGGAAUUAUUGGGCGUAAAGCGCGUGUAGGUGGCCUACUAAGUCUGGUGUGAAAGCCCGGGGCUCAACCCCGGAAGUGCACUGGAUACUGGUAGGCUAGAGGACGAGAGAGGAUGGUAGAAUUCCUGGUGUAGGGGUGAAAUCCGUAGAUAUCAGGAGGAACAUCGGUGGCGAAGGCGGCCAUCUGGCUCGUUUCUGACACUCAGACGCGAAAGCGUGGGGAGCAAACAGG
rnacentral:rRNA from 1 species